UACGAAGGGGGGCUAGCGUUGUUCGGAUUUACUGGGCGUAAAGCGCACGUAGGCGGGUUGUUAAGUCAGGGGUGAAAUCCUGGAGCUCAACUCCAGAACUGCCUUUGAUACUGGCAACCUAGAGGCUGGAAGAGGUUAGUGGAAUUCCCAGUGUAGAGGUGAAAUUCGUAGAUAUUGGGAAGAACACCAGUGGCGAAGGCGGCUAACUGGUCCAGAUCUGACGCUGAGGUGCGAAAGCGUGGGGAGCAAACAGGG
rnacentral:rRNA from 1 species